rnacentral:rRNA from 1 species
GAUGAACGCUGGCGGCGUGCCUAAUACAUGCAAGUCGAGCGAACGGACGAGAAGCUUGCUUCUCUGAUGUUAGCGGCGGACGGGUGAGUAACACGUGGAUAACCUACCUAUAAGACUGGGAUAACUUCGGGAAACCGGAGCUAAUACCGGAUAAUAUUUUGAACCGCAUGGUUCAAAAGUGAAAGACGGUCUUGCUGUCACUUAUAGAUGGAUCCGCGCUGCAUUAGCUAGUUGGUAAGGUAACGGCUUACCAAGGCAACAAUGCAUAGCCGACCUGAGAGGGUGAUCGGCCACACUGGAACUGAGACACGGUCCAGACUCCUACGGGAGGCAGCAGUGGGGAAUCUUCCGCAAUGGGCGAAAGCCUGACGGAGCAACGCCGCGUGAGUGAUGAAGGUCUUCGGAUCGUAAAACUCUGUUAUUAGGGAAGAACAUAUGUGUAAGUAACUGUGCACAUCUUGACGGUACCUAAUCAGAAAGCCACGGCUAACUACGUG